CCAUACCACUUGAGGCAGUGUGGAGCACUGAGUAGAACAGCACCGCUAAAGAAGCACAACGGCUCAGUGGCUAACACUAGCCUGUUAGCAUAACAAGCUAACACACCAUUAUCCUGCAGGAAGACCCCUGAGCCUGAAUACAAACCUGUUGCUCACACCUGUUACUUUCCACAGGUCCUCGGUGGAGUGGAACUCGGAGGCGAGGACGUUGUGUCCGUCGGGGAUGCGGGUCAUGGAGACGUGGAGACGGCCGUGGGCGAGACGAUGGGCGUUUUUGGGCAGAGUUCUCCUCAGAGCUCCAUCCAACCGACUGAACUGAGGAAACCCCAACCCGUAACCACGAGUCAGAACCAGAAGCUCCUCCCUCACACGACCUGAAUCACCAAUCACAACGCAGAAAUCACAUUCAGACCAUAACAAUCACAUUCACACAUCAACAGUCCCAUUCACACCACAGUAAUCACAUUCACAACACGAUAAUCACGAUGUGAGUAUAGAACAAGGGUAGAGAACAUUAGUACAGAAUGUGAUUACAGAAUGUACUUAUGUUCUAUACUCUUAUUCUUUACUCACAUUCUAUAUGCUCCUUCUAUGUCAUUCUAUACCUUCGUUCUAUACUCACGUUCUAUACUCGCAUUAUAUGCUCUCAUUCUGUACUCCUGUUCUAUACUCUCGUUCUAUACUCACAUUCUAUACACUUAUUCUAUAGUGAGUAUUAUACGGAAUGUGAGUAAAGAACGAGAUUAUAGAACACGAGUAUAGAUCAAGAGUACAGAAUGUGAGUAUAUAACGUAAGUGUAGAACGUGAGUAUAGAAUGUGUGUUUAGGAUGCGAGUAUAGGAUGCAAGUAUAGAAUGCGAGUAUAGAAUAUGAGUAUAGUAUGAGAGUUUAGAACACGAGUAUAGAAUAAGCGUAUAGUACGAGAGUAUAGAGCGCGAGUAUAGAUCGAGAGUAUAGAUCGAGAGUAUAGUACAAGAGUAUUGAAUGAGAGUAUAGAACCUGGUACCUAUAUCGGCUCCGCACGCCACCGCCGCCGCUACCAGUGACCCGGCCGAGGCGCCGUAUACUCUGGGGGCGUGGCGGAGGAUCCAGGGUGCGUUCUCCAGCAGCGCCUGGACCACGCCCAGCUGAUAGGUGGCCAGAAACCCCGACCCGGAGAAAGAGAUGGAGACGGGCUGGACCCUCCUGGAGUCGGACAUGACUGAACCGGACCGGACCUGCAGGGCUGCUCUGACCCGCGGGGUGGAUCACAGGGUAUAUAUCCUGCACCGGGCGGGACGGGAUAUUCCCUCCUGUCGUCA